CCUACGGGGCGCUGCAGUGGGGAAUAUUGGACAAUGGGCGAAAGCCUGAUCCAGCCAUGCCGCGUGUGUGAAGAAGGCCUUCGGGUUGUAAAGCACUUUCAGUGGGGAAGAAAGCCUUGGGGCUAAUACCCUCGAGGAAGGACAUCACCCACAGAAGAAGCACCGGCUAACUCCGUGCCAGCAGCCGCGGUAAUACGGAGGGUGCGAGCGUUAAUCGGAAUUACUGGGCGUAAAGCGCGCGUAGGCGGUCUGAUAAGCCGGUUGUGAAAGCCCCGGGCUCAACCUGGGAACGGCAUCCGGAACUGUCAGGCUAGAGUGCAGGAGAGGAAGGUAGAAUUCCCGGUGUAGCGGUGAAAUGCGUAGAGAUCGGGAGGAAUACCAGUGGCGAAGGCGGCCUUCUGGACUGACACUGACGCUGAGGUGCGAAAGCGUGGGUAGCAAACAGGAUUAGAUACCCGAGUGUC
rnacentral:rRNA from 1 species